GUUCAUUAAUCCUCUAUGACUGAAUCCCCAUAGUAUACAAUUUAUUUCUCCAUGGGCAACAAGACAUGCCAGCAACUGCACGGCUACUUCUCCAUUUAGCCAGACAGAGAAUAAAGGGUCCCUGUAUUCAUGCCUUCCUGGAAAUCUCAGUGCAAGGCCCUAUCAGGAGGUUUCCUGGAGCAGCUAAGGGAACAGCUAGACCACCCAGGAAGAAAUGACAGAAGCCUACCUGACUUCCAAUCUGCUUGCUUCAUGGUGUAAUGGGGGCCUAGACAGAAGCACCCCAAGGACACUUACAACAACUGUUCUGCCAGCUCUAGUCCAUUGGAGAAGAUGUGCCAACAUACCUUCUCACCAUCCCUAGAGCCCAACCUUGCUAUGGAAAGGUCAAACCCUUACCAUUGGCCCUGCCAAGGAUCCCCAGACAGAGAAGCACAAUGGAGGCCAUAAAUUAUGGCUUCUUAUCAUGGCCUCCACAUAACUUAAACUCUGGAUGGUGAAUGAAAUCUGGGGCCAAGUCUUAAAGGGUCAGGGUAGCCAAUGAGCAUAACUCAAUAUUUGUGUUUCUAAGAGAAAACCACAGAACCUCCAUAUCCAUGGCAAACUGGCCAGCCACAGGCUGGAUCCAGUGUGCAGUAGUGUUUUGUGUACACCAUUCACUAUUUGUCUACUUGGGUUAAAAAUGUUUUAUAUUAGUUAGCAAUGUUUAAACAUUGGGAGAAUUAAAGGGAAAUGAAAACGUACUUCCCACAAAUACUUGCACAUAAAUAUUCACAGCAGCAUUGUUUAUAAUUGCCCAAAACUAGAAACAACCCAAAUAUCCAUCAACUGAUGAAUGAUAAACAAGUUGUGGUAUAUUCAUCCAAUAAAACAAUAUUCAGCAAUAAAAAUAAACAAAUCAGGCACUUAAUAUAAUUGAAUAUCAAGGUCAUUAUGUUGAGUGAAAGAGGCCAGAAAAUAAAAGUAUACACUAUUUGAUUCCAUUUAUAUAAUAUUCUAGAAAAUGAAAACCAGUCUAUACUUACAGAAAACAAGGUGGUAGCUUACAGAGAUGGGGUAGAGGGAGGGAGAGAUGACAGAGAGGCAUAAAAAAACUUUCCGGACAAUGAAAAUGUUCUGUAUUUUAAUUGUGGUGAUGGUUUCAUGGAUGUACAAGUUCAUCAAAUCUCAUCAAGUUAAAUAUAUGCAUUUAUUUUAUAUUAAGUGUACCUCAAUAAAGCAGAAAAAUUUAAAAUUGGUAAUAUUUAUAUACAAAUUGAGAUAUCUAUAUUUCUUGAAAAUCAAAAUGUCUGACAUCAUUUGGUCUACAUAUUUAUCUGCCAAAAAUACAGGAGAUAGACAGUAGCUGUCCUUUAGAAGGGGCAUACCCUUUCGAGUUUGCAACAGGCCUUCAUACUUCCUGCUGCUUACCCAGCAUUCAUUACAUGUUUAUUGUCAUUUAUUUAAGUUACUUAUUGUGAACCUAAUGCAUGUAUGGCCUCAUUCUAGGUACUGGAGACUAAACAUGCAAACACACCUAACUGGCAUGGUUUCCAUUUGCCUAAUUGUCACGGGGUACCAUGAAGUUUACAUUUUAGUGAGAUUGGAGAAAGAUAGACAUUUAGAGUUAAUAAGUUGGAUAAAUAGUAUAUUAGGUGGAAAGAAGUAUAAGAAAAAAACAUACAGCCAGGAAGAAGUAUAGACAGUUCCAGAGCUAAAAUGUUAGCCAUGGAUCCCAGGAAGUCCUCACUGAAAGGUGACUUUGGGAGGAAACCUGUAGAAGGUGAGGAAUUGAGCUAUGCAUAUAACCCAGGGAAGAGCAUUCUAGACAGACAUGACAGUCCAUGAGAAGAUUCUAGGCAAGGGAGGUAGCCCAGGGUCUUCAACCAACAGCAAGGAGGCUAAUCUAGCUUGGCACAGAGUAACAAGAGAUGAGAUCAGAGAAAUAACAGGGUAGAGAUGGUGUGGAGUCUUA
rnacentral:lncRNA from 1 species